CAACUCUGACCUUGAGGGAGACAAUAAAAGAGGGUCAGAGCGCGCGCCUGGGGCAAGCCGAGCCACCGAGAGCCUUCUGCAGGUGUGUGAGGGCAAGUCUUGCGGCCCGGAGUGUUUACUGUGUCCCGCUUUAUGGAGCUGAGUGAGUUCUGCGCACAACCAGCCUGGAGCUGUGCACGCGCAGGGUUUGGACGGAAAGAUGCAGGUCUGGAUCCCUGAUCAGAUGGAGGCCCCAAUGUGGAGAUUAAAACAAAGUAAGGACUGAAGAUGGAAGGAGAACCCUAAGAAAUGGCGACCAGUCUACACUGCUCAUGUCAUCUCUGAUUAUAAGAGCGAGCUCAGAUGCUUGUCCUUACAUCUACUCCAUAGCUGACACUGCACACAAUGACAUGCUAAAACGUUACCCACACUGCUGGCACUCUGACCAAAGCUACUGAUGAACACUUUUAAGACAUUUUUAAGCAGAACUAAUAAGUUACUCUGCUCAUCCCUCCUUCAACAGUUCUUCAUAGGGCUUCUCGACAUAGCUGGAUUUGAGCUCUUUGAGGAGAAUUGUAACAAGCUGAUGGCCAACCUGAUGAGCACUCAGUCUCACUUUGUAUGCUGUAGCAUUUCUGUAAUGCAGACCUACAGUACAAGUACUACUUGAAACUAAUCUACUGAAUCUUGAACGCUUCCACCAUUCCAAAGGACAAAUGGACAAUGAGACAAUGAGGCUGCAGAGAAACUUCUAAGCUGGCUGGAUACUGAUCCCAUGCAAUACAGAGGAAAUCACUGACCUGAGUAUGUGGUUUGGUUAAGCAGGCAAGACAUUCUGUUAGAGCAAAUGUAAAAGUCUCUGGAUUAAGAGCGACAUCCAGGCAGCACUGGAGAAACCUCUUUGGUUGCAGAGGUCAGAGGAUGAAGAUGACAAAGGAAGACCUGCAUGAAAUGGUGUUUCAGCUUGACUAUGCUAAAAAAAAAAACAUGUAGCUGAAUCACAAAAACUAAUUUACUACCUACAAAGUAGUAAUUUCUCUUCCUUACCUUCAACACUGAAGUUACAUGACAUCAGCUAUAUCAGUUAACUAUAAUCAGCAAAAAAAGAAACGUCCUCACACAUUCACAUGCUUUUAUUUCCAGCAAAUUUCAUAACAUGUGUAAAUAUUUGUAUUAAUAUAAAAACAAUUGAGACACGUGAAACUUGUUCACAUUUGACGAACAGAAAUGGAGUAAUGAAUCCCUGAACGGGGGGGGGGGGGGGGCAAUAUUAAAAGUAGCAGUCAGUAUGUGGUACUACAGUGCAUCUCAUCCUCAUGGACUGCACCAGAUUUGUCAGUUCUUGCUGUGAGAUGUUACCAAACUCUCCCACCAAGGCAUUUACAAGUUCUUGAUCACGUCUGGGUGGACACAUGGUUACACGUGGUUUGCCACUGCAAGGAUGAUCAGCUGUCCUUCCUGUCUCCCUGUAGCACUGUCUUAGGCGUCUUACGUUACAGACAUUGCAGUUUAUUGCUCUGGACCCAUCUGCAGUCCUCAUGCCUCCCUGCAGCAGGUCUAUGGCAUGUUCACGCAGGUGAGCAGGAACCCGAGGCAUCUUUCUUCUGGUGUUUUUCAGAGUCUGUAGAAAGGUCUCUUUAGUGUCUUAAGUUAUUGUAGCUGUGACCGUAAUUGCCUACCUCCUGUAAACUGUUCGUGUCUUAAAGACUGUUCCAUAGGUGCAUGUGUAAUAAUUGUUUAUGGUCCAUUGAACAAGCAUGAUUAAGAUCUGUAAAGUUUAUCUGGAUUUUACAAAAUGAUCUUUAAAAUACAACCUUGAAAAAGAGACAUUUCUUUUUUUGCUGAGUAUAUAUUAACUAAAAUGAAGGGAUCCAUCCAAUAUUAACAUAUAUCUUUAUCUUUUUUAUAUCUUAUCUAUAAAUAAGCAAGACACAUGAAGGCCAAGUAGCAUGAAUAAACAAAGGGAACGGAGCUUGGUGAAUCUGCAUCAGAGUGAAAAGCUCAAGAAACAAAUGGCAGUAACAGAUCACCGUAACAUCUUGCUGGCUCCCAAACUGGAAAAGCUCCAAACUAAUUGAAUAAAUCGGCCAAAUGUGCAAAGACUCCUGGAAUAUUUUACAUGCACAGAUGAUCAGCCAAUACUGAUCAGUCUGUGCACUGAUAGUUGACUGUGUGCCGAACCAGAAAAAGGUGCUGGGAAGUGAUAUCUCAAUGCUGGCAGUGAUGCAAGGAUUUCUUUAAUGCUCAUGAGAAGGCCAAGAAGCCCUACAAGCUGAGGAGUUAGUGUGAAGAAUAGUGUCUCAUCUUAAAGUAUUCUGUCUUGCUUGCAUUACAUAUCUCAACACAGACAGUGUUCAUAUCGGUCCACAUCACUGAGCAAGUGCAGGCUGCUUUGAUUGUAUAUAAGGUGGAAGGAAAGGACAUGACCAGCCGACAUGACCAGCUUCAGAAAGAUCCACCACAGUGCAGAGGAGAGCAGACAUGGACGGACUCGUCCAUUUAGCCAGCCGACUGUGCCUUUGCAUAAAAGAGACGCAUUAUCAAGCCAUGAGUGCUCCUAUAUUUAGAGCAGGUGACUUUACACAGUGAUGAGGCAUGCUCCUGAUUACAUUUUUGGUUUACUGUGGACGAGGAUUCUUAAUAUGGAGUUUACAUGUUAGCAAUGGAGACAGAAAAAGAUAACAGCUUUUGUGGUACAGAGUAGAGCAAGAUGUUUUUCAAAACUCCCCAGAUGUAUCCCUGGAUGCCCAAGUCCAGAAAUGACUAGAAAUUCUAAAUAAAGCAAACUAAAGAUAA